UACGAAGGGGGCUAGCGUUGCUCGGAAUCACUGGGCCUAAAGGGUGCGUAGGCGGGUCUUUAAGUCAGGGGUGAAAUCCUGGAGCUCAACUCCAGCACUGCCUUUGAUACUGAAGAUCUUGAGUUCGGGAGAGGUGAGUGGAACUGCGAGUGUAGAGGUGAAAUUCGUAGAUAUUCGCAAGAACACCAGUGGCGAAGGCGGCUCACUGGCCCGAUACUGACGCUGAGGCACGAAAGCGUGGGGAGCAAACAGG
rnacentral:rRNA from 1 species